CCGUAGCCCAAGAGAUCGGGAUAACACCUGGAAACAGAUGCUAAUACCGGAUAACAACAGAUGAUGCCUAUCAACUGUUUAAAAGAUGGUUCUGCUAUCACUCUUGGAUGGACCUGCGGUGCAUUAGCUAGUUGGUAGGGUAACGGCCUACCAAGGCGAUGAUGCAUAGCCAAGUUGAGAGACUGAUCGGCCACAUUGGGACUGAGACACGGCCCAAACUCCUACGGGAGGCAGCAGGC
rnacentral:rRNA from 1 species